GACGAACGCUGGCGGCGUGCCUAAUACAUGCAAGUCGAACGCAGUGGGGACGGGUGCGUAACACCUGGGUAACCUCCCAUCAGAGGGGAUAACACUUGGAAACAGGUGCUAAACCGAUACUGAUUGAUGGACCCGCUGUGCAUUAGCUAGUUGGUGAGGUAACGGCUCACCAAGGCCACGAUGCAUAGCCGACAGGAGAGGGUGAGCGGCCAAACUGGGACUGAGACACGGCCAAGACUCCUACGGGAGGCAGCAGUGGGGAAUAUUGGGCAAUGGGCGAAAGUCUGAUGGAGCAACGCCGCGUGAGUGAAGAAGGUUUUCGGGUCGUAAAACUCUGUUGUUAGAGAAGCGGUAUCUAAACAGAAAGCCACGGCUAACUACGUGCCAGCAGCCGCGGUAAUAC
rnacentral:rRNA from 1 species